rnacentral:rRNA from 1 species
CCUACGGUGUGGCAGCAGUGGGGAAUAUUGGACAAUGGGCGAAAGCCUGAGCCAGCCAUGCCGCGUGUGUGAAGAAGGCCUUCGGGUUGUAAAGCACUUUCAGUGGGGAAGAAAGCCUUGGGGCUAAUACCCUCGAGGAAGGACAUCACCCACAGAAGAAGCACCGGCUAACUCCGUGCCAGCAGCCGCGGUAAUACGGAGGGUGCGAGCGUUAAUCGGAAUUACUGGGCGUAAAGCGCGCGUAGGCGGUCUGAUAAGCCGGUUGUGAAAGCCCCGGGCUCAACCUGGGAACGGCAUCCGGAACUGUCAGGCUAGAGUGCAGGAGAGGAAGAUAGAAUUCCCGGUGUAGCGGUGAAAUGCGUAGAGAUCGGGAGGAAUACCAGUGGCGAAGGCGGCCUUCUGGACUGACACUGACGCUGAGGUGCGAAAGCGUGGGUAGCAAACAGGAUUAGAUACCCGGGUAGUC